UGAGUACGUAGUUUGACUCCGUGGCUCGAGGACGAACGCUGGCGGCGUGCCUAACACAUGCAAGUCGAGCGGAGAUUGAGGAAGAGCUUGCUCGGAAUCAAUCUUAGCGGCGGACGGGUGAGUAACGCGUGAGCAACCUGCCUUUCACAGGGGGAUAACGCAGCGAAAGCUGUGCUAAUACUGCAUAAUAUCGAUUUAAGGCAUCUUAGAAUGAUUAAAGUUUCGACGGAUACGGAUUGGCUCGCGUGACAUUAGCUAGAUGGUAAGGUAACGGCUUACCAUGGCGACGAUGUCUAGGGGUUCUGAGAGGAAGGUCCCCCACACUGGAACUGAGACACGGUCCAGACUCCUACGGGAGGCAGCAGUGAGGAAUAUUGGGCAAUGGGGGAAACCCUGACCCAGCAACGCCGCGUGAAGGAAGAAGGCCUUCGGGUUGUAAACUUCUUUUACCAGGGACGAAGAACGUGACGGUACCUGGAGAAAAAGCAACGGCUAACUACGUG
rnacentral:rRNA from 1 species